rnacentral:tRNA from 1 species
ACCUGGCUGGCUCAGUCAGUAGAGCAUGUGACUCUUGCUCUUGGGGUCGUGGGUUCAAGCCCCACAUUGGGCA